CUACGGGGGGCUGCAGUAGGGAAUCUUCCACAAUGGGCGCAAGCCCGAUGCAGCCAUGCCGCGUGUGUGAAGAAGGCCUUCGGGUUGUAAAGCACUUUCAGCGGGGAGGAAGGCGUUAAGGUUAAUAACCUUGGCGAUUGACGUUACCCGCAGAAGAAGCACCGGCUAACUCCGUGCCAGCAGCCGCGGUAAUACGGAGGGUGCAAGCGUUAAUCGGAAUUACUGGGCGUAAAGCGCACGCAGGCGGUCUGUCAAGUCGGAUGUGAAAUCCCCGGGCUCAACCUGGGAACUGCAUUCGAAACUGGCAGGCUAGAGUCUUGUAGAGGGGGGUAGAAUUCCAGGUGUAGCGGUGAAAUGCGUAGAGAUCUGGAGGAAUACCGGUGGCGAAGGCGGCCCCCUGACAAAGACUGACGCUCAGGUGCGAAAGCGUGGGGAGCAAACAGGAUUAGAUACCCCAGUAGUC
rnacentral:rRNA from 1 species